UCCCGUUUUUUCCCUCCUCCAGCCAUGGACGGCGUUCCCUUCGCCCUCCACCCCAAAUUCGAGUCCCGGCUCAGCUCCCCCAUCCUGGCCGAGCUGACRGUGAAAUCCCUGGCGGACAUCGAGCGCGAGUACAGUUACGGGUUCCUGGUGGAGAGGACGGCAGCAGCUCGGCUGCCCCCGGGCUGAUCCCGUUUGGAAUGAAAUCCCUCGGAAUUCCGGGAAUUCGGGGCUGGGGCAAUCCUGGAUUUUCCCCCAAUCCGGGGAUUUUCGGGAUGUUUUUAUUCCCAUUCCCCAUUCCCAUGGAUCCCAUCCCCGUUUUCUCUUCCCCCCCAAGAAUUCCAAACUCUUUUCAAAACACCUUGAUUGGGAUUUUUAGUCACCAAAUCCCCAAAACAUUCCCGGGAACCUUCGGAGGAUGGGAAUUUUCCCCCCUCCCCGAAAAAGCAUGGGAAUGUCCUGGGAAAAAAAAAACAUUAAAAAGUCGGAUCCUCCUUUCCCGAGGGACCCGGGAGGGAACAAUUGUCCCUUGGGAUAUGGGAAUUGUCCCUCAGGAUAUGGGAAUUAUCCCUUGGGAUGUGGGAAUUGUCCCUCGGGAUGCGAUCGGAGCCCGGGACGGGAAUUUUUGGGAUUUUGGGAUGYGGGAAUUCCCCUCAGGAAGGCACUUUGAGCCUGGAGCUGCCCAGCAGGAAUUGCAGGAUCCGAUCCACGGAAAARGCCAGCAGGAAAUCGGCCACCAGCACCUCCGAGAUCACCAGCUUGAACUGGGAAAUGCAGGAAUUCAGUGGGAAUUUGCCCCCAAAUCCCAUCCAAAUCCCAUCCCAAUCCCAUCCCAAUCCCACCCGGAUCCAACCUUUCCUUGUCCCAAAAAUCCCAUAAAUCCUCCCCCGAUUUUCCAUGGGAAGCCAUUCCCUGU